rnacentral:rRNA from 1 species
GACGAACGCUGGCGGCGUGCUUAACACAUGCAAGUCGAACGGAAAGGCCUGCUUUCCCUUGUGGAUUGCGGGUACUCGCGUGGCGAACGGGUGAGUAACACGUGAGUGAUCUGCCCCCAACUUGGGUAUAAGCCGGGGAAACUGGGUCUAAUUCCAGAUAGGACUGCAGGGGGGUGCCGGUGGUGGAAAACGAUUUUCUAGUGGUUGGGGAUGAGCUCGCGGCCUAUCAGCUUGUGGGUGGGGUAAUGGCCUACCAAGGCGGCGACGGGUAGCCGGCCUGGGAGGGUGGACGGCCACAGUGGGACUGAGAUACGGCCCAGACUCCUACGGGACGCAGCAGUGGGGAAUAUUACACAAUGGGCGGAAGCCUGAUGCAGCGACGCCGCGUGGGGGAUGACGGCCUUCGGGUUGUAAACUCCUUUCGACCGCGAGGAAGCCACCUGGUUGGAAGGGUGGUGACGGUAGUGGUAGAAGAAGCACCGGCUAACUACGUG